rfam:Hordeum vulgare subsp. vulgare, WGS project CAJW01000000 data, contig: morex_contig_135755
AAUGUACUCCCUCCGUCCGAAAAUACUUGUCACGGGUAUGGAUACAUCUAGAUGUAUUUUAGUUCUAGAUACAUUCAUUUUUAUAAAUUUGUACGACAAGUAAUUCCGGACGGGGGGAGUAUAAG